UACCUUUCGACCAAAACGACCAGAGCGACCAAUGCGAUGAAUGUACAGCUCUCUAUUGUUUGGAAGGUCAUAAUUAAUCACCAGAGACACCUGAAAUCGAAAUAGUAAGCAAAGUAUGAAGGAUAAUACAGUAAAUCUCUAUUGUUUGGAAGGUCAUAAUUAAUCACCAGAGACACCUGAAAUAGAAAUAGUAAGCAAAGCAUGAAUGAUAAUACAGCAACAUCUUUAUAAACAAGGACGGUAUAGCAGAAAGAUUCUCCUAGAUGUGGCAGCCUAAAGAGGCGAACAAACAAGGAUACUCAGACGAGAAUGUGUUUGCCACUGUAGGUCCGAAUAUCAAGUAUGAACUAAGUCAACAUUCUAGCUAUUGUUGCAUUUGUCGCUCCAUUCU
rnacentral:lncRNA from 1 species